GUUUCCACUGAACUUCCUUUCCUCUCCACGGUAAGCAGCCUUGUGUGCUUGGAUUGCUUCAGCCUUGUUGGACAGAGCCAUGUCUCCUUUCCCUCCAAACAUACCAAGUGACCCCUCUUCCUUCUGAAUCUGCGCACACACUUCCUCCAUAGAUGGAAGACUCGGCAUCCUCAACAUGUGCUUGAUCACAUCAUUGAAUGGAGGAUCUAGUGUCAGCAGCAAUCCAAACACCUGAUCCUGCUCCCUCCUCUCCAUGAGUAGCUCUUGAUCCGCGGUGCUUGGCCUCAAUGAUUCAAGCUCAGACCACAAGGAUCUAUACUUGCCCAAAUGCUUGGUGAACUCUUCCCCAUCUUGAACCAGUGUGUUGAUGGCCUUCUUAAUCUCAUACACGCGGUUCAGAUUGGUAACGUUCCCAAAUGUCUUCUGGAGUACCUCCCACAGGUGUUUUGGAGUCUCGCAGU
rnacentral:lncRNA from 1 species